UGGGAAAUAUUGCACAAUGGGCGCAAGCCUGAUGCAGCCAUGCCGCGUGUAUGAAGAAGGCCUUCGGGUUGUAAAGUACUUUCAGCGGGGAGGAAGGCGAUAAGGUUAAUAACCUUGUCGAUUGACGUUACCCGCAGAAGAAGCACCGGCUAACUCCGUGCCAGCAGCCGCGGUAAUACGGAGGGUGCAAGCGUUAAUCGGAAUUACUGGGCGUAAAGCGCACGCAGGCGGUCUGUCAAGUCGGAUGUGAAAUCCCCGGGCUCAACCUGGGAACUGCAUUCGAAACUGGCAGGCUAGAGUCUUGUAGAGGGGGGUAGAAUUCCAGGUGUAGCGGUGAAAUGCGUAGAGAUCUGGAGGAAUACCGGUGGCGAAGGCGGCCCCCUGGACAAAGACUGACGCUCAGGUGCGAAAGCGUGGGGAGCAAACA
rnacentral:rRNA from 1 species